rnacentral:tRNA from 7 species
GGAGGGGUGGCCGAGUGGCCGAAGGCGGCGGUUUGCUAAACCGUUAAAGGGAGAUAAUCCCUUUCGUGGGUUCGAAUCCCAUCCCCUCCGCCA